rnacentral:rRNA from 1 species
CCUACGGGUGGCAGCAGUGAGGAAUAUUGGUCAAUGGUCGGGAGACUGAACCAGCCAAGCCGCGUGAGGGAUGAAGGUACAGAGUAUCGUAAACCUCUUUUGUCAGGGAACAAAGGCGGGGACGUGUCCCCGGAUGAGUGUACCUGAAGAAAAAGCAUCGGCUAACUCCGUGCCAGCAGCCGCGGUAAUACGGAGGAUGCGAGCGUUAUCCGGAUUUAUUGGGUUUAAAGGGUGCGCAGGUGGAAGAUCAAGUCAGCGGUAAAAUUGAGGGGCUCAACCUCGUCGAGCCGUUGAAACUGUUUUUCUUGAGUACUGGAGAGGCAGACGGAAUUCCUAGUGUAGCGGUGAAAUGCGUAGAUAUUAGGAGGAACACCAGUGGCGAAGGCGGUCUGCUGGACAGCAACUGACGCUGAGGCGCGAAAGCGUGGGGAGCAAACAGGAUUAGAUACCCGGGUAGUC